UACGUAGGGGGCAAGCGUUAUCCGGAUUUACUGGGUGUAAAGGGAGCGUAGACGGAAUUGCAAGUCUGAUGUGAAAAUCCGGGGCCCAACCCCGGGACUGCAUUGGAAACUGUAUUUCUAGAGUGUCGGAGAGGCAAGUGGAAUUCCUGGUGUAGCGGUGAAAUGCGUAGAUAUCAGGAGGAACACCAGUGGCGAAGGCGGCUUGCUGGACGAUGACUGACGUUGAGGCUCGAAAGCGUGGGGAGCAAACAGG
rnacentral:rRNA from 1 species